rnacentral:rRNA from 1 species
UACGGGGGGGGGCAAGCGUUGUUCGGAAUUACUGGGCGUAAAGGGCUCGUAGGUGGCCAACUAAGUCAGACGUGAAAUCCCUCGGCUUAACCGGGGAACUGCGUCUGAUACUGGAUGGCUUGAGUUCGGGAGAGGGAUGCGGAAUUCCAGGUGUAGCGGUGAAAUGCGUAGAUAUCUGGAGGAACACCGGUGGCGAAGGCGGCAUCCUGGACCGGCAUUGACGCUGAGGCGCGAAAAGCCAGGGGAGCAAACGGGG